UCUGAUUUCCCAGCACUUUAUCUGUUACAGCUUCCUCAUGAGUUACCUGCACCUCUGCUACAAUUUAUUUGACCUGCCAUUCUGUUUUACCUAGCUGUUUGCACUUUCCUUUCUGCCUAGGUAGUUUAUCCAGCUGUUUUACUUCCUUAUGUUCAUUGUUCUCAGCAGAAUACCAGCAAUCAAAGAUGUCAUGCCCAAACUUCAAACAAUGGUUGCAAAGCAAGGCUUCCAGUCAUACUCAACUGUCUGGAUUUUUGAACCAUAAGGAGUCUCAAUUUC
rnacentral:lncRNA from 1 species